GCAUCGACAUGGAGAAUAAAAGGUUCGUCCAUUUAAACUCCAUCAAGCAUAAGGUUAAAUAUAAAAUUGAUGUCAGAAAGUGGUAGUAGAUAGUAGCAGUCAUAUUCUAUAUAUAUUAUGAUAACGCAGAAUUGAGUAAAUGAAAUAUGGUAGAAGAUGAUGAUUGUUCUUCCCAGCCCGAGGGUUCUCUUGACUGUAGACUCUACUACUUGAAGUACAUGGACUUUCUUGCUCACAA
rnacentral:lncRNA from 1 species